AACAUGAGCCACUUGUGUUGUUUCCAAACAAAGUCUUCAAUGUUCUCUGUACUAUCUUACCAAAUUUCUAAAAAAUCUAUUGCCCUGCUCUCAACUACUUUUUCAUCAGCAAUCCCUGAUUCUUCUCCAUGUUGUUUCCUACAUUAAUCAUACUAUAGAGUAUAGACAUAGUACUAUAUCUUUGUGAUUUUUCUUCCUUUUUAAUACUUCUCAACCCAUUAGCUCAAUAUUUCUUACCUUUUAUUAUUCUCUCUUGCUGGUUCAUAUCUUCAUGUGAGAUUGAAAUUUCUUAAGGCCACAAUUUGUUCAAAGAUGGUGAAUUGGUGAAGGUUCUAAUGAAUUUUGUUAAAGGUGUUGAAAGCAUAUAUCAUAUUCAUGACUUUGUUAGUUGACAGAAGAUAGAGAGCACAUCUGAACAAACACAAAAGAUUGUGUUUGAACAGUUAUGUGCUCUUUAUUCUUCUGCCAACAUACUCCUCCACUUCCAUAUUAACUAUUGUCCGUCCCUAAUCUUUGAUUAUUUUAGAGUUUUGCAUAUGAAUUAAGAAAUAAUAAAUAUUAAUAAGUUGAUUAAUUUAUUUAAUGAAUAUUUAGUUUUUGUAAGGUACAAAUGAUAAAAUAUUAUUAAUUCUACCUUGAUUUUUUAAAAUUAAAGAACCAGAAUUUUGAGACAAAAUAAAAAACUAAAUGAUCAAAGAUUAAGAAGGAGUACUGAUUUGUGAUACUUUCAAUGUUUACUUAGAUCGUAUAAAGCAUUUCUCAAGGAAUAAACACUGGUGAGUACUUAUAAACUUCCUCAAAUUUUAUUUUUAAUCACUAAAAUUUUAAAUCUCUACUUUUAAGUCAAUUCAUAUAUGUAUCUUUCAAAUUUUUGAAUUAUUUUUUUAUAAAGAUUAAAAAUGAAAUUUAUAAUAUUUAUUGAAUUCUAAAACUUAUUUUUAUAUUUAAGGUAUUUGUUAUUGAUUUUUAUGAAAGUUUUCUUCCUUUAAUUUGUUCAAACCGCCGAACCACCCACACUGAUUGGGUCACCGGCUUUUCCGACUCUGUGCCAAUUUGCACGCUUUUUUUUCUGGUUUGCAUGCGCGAUAGUUUUAAGCACGAAUUGGACUAGAUACAGGUCCGGUUUCCGGUUCGACCGGCCGAUCCGAUUUUUUUGUGCUUGCAUAUGAUUUUUUGUUUGGUAAAUUAAUACGUUCAAAUAGUAAAGGUGUAGAGCAUUCACAUAGUACUUUUGCACCUUCAACAGUUGACUUGACUAAGUCAUACAGUAUAUGUGAUGUGAUCACUGAUUACAAAGUGACUUUCUUGUAGUUCCACAAAUGGAUUGCUAUCACAAUGUGUGAAUCGGUCAAAAAAAGCAUGGUAUUAAUGGUUGAUUCAUUUUUAGGUGGAGUUAGUGGGAAGGAAAAAAACAUCAUACUGUAAUGGAAAAUGAACGGUGAUAUGAGGAGAAAUUUUAGAGGAGGGCUGGAAUAAGCUGAAGAUGCACAAGUUGUGAUAGCAAACGACAAUGCGAGUGAGUUUGUCUCUCCAAAUACGUUAGCACUCAAAGAUAUUUUUAUAUUUUAGGUAGAUUUAUUAUUUUUAUUUAGUUAGGUUUGUUAUUUUUAUUUUUACACACUUUUAGAAGAUUUAUUAUUUUUAUUUUUUUUACUACUAUUUAAGCUAAACUAUUGUAGCCUUGAAAGACAUCUUUUUGAUUCAAUAAAAAUAUAGAGAAUUUUCUC